GUUGUUGGCUGGUUUGUUUUUAAGUGUGCUUAUUGCAAAAGAUUGCUUAGAAAAGCCAAUGCUUUAGGUUUCUGCUGGAUGCAUGCUCUGUUCUAGUAAAAAAAAAAGUCCCUUCAAAAUGAUGGAAAGGAGGCUUUAGUAAUGCAUGAAUGAUUAUAACUCUCGUAUUUUACCAAUCACAAGAGGAAACGAAUUUAAACAGCCACGUAAUCUGGUCCGCCUCACUGUGAACGAGGUGCCCUGCUAAACACCACACCACCAGCCUUCUCUGACCACAGUGAUGUAGUUGACAACAGCGUACAACAGGUCUGUUUUCUCACCCUCUUAUCCCACCCAGAUAACAUCUGGUUGGACAGCCUAUUAGCUAUUGAUGCAAGAAUGCUUGUUCUCAGAACCACCAGGACUUGAGCGGGAGCCUUCUUGGAAGCCUCAUCAAGAGCACAUCUCUGACUUGGAGAAGGAAUUUCCAUAGACACUGCCCCAGCGGGAUGAUUUCUGGGUUUGUAGAUAAAGCCCAGAACUCAGGUAUUACUGACCCUAUUCUCUUUAACACUCUUGGCUCACUGUUCCCCUGUUGGGCAUACCACUCUGCCUCUAUGUGAGCUGCCGCUGAGAAUCCUUCCUCGUCUCAGGGAGUUCUCAAGGAUAUUUAUACUCUGCUUUCAAGAUCUCUGUGUAAUGAGAACUUCAUAGUACAACUCAAAAGUCAUGGAGCAGCAUUCUAACUAUUACAUGCCUUGAAGGGCUGGCUAUUACUUGGACAGGAACUAUGUCAGAUUUUUCCUCAAUGCCUUUCAGGUCUCUGCUGGUUUCCACUUGUCCAGAGCCUUAAACAAGUGACUGCAUGUACACGUGCUUUCAUUGAAGAAUGAAUUGCCCAUGAAACAGUCCUGGAGUUGAUUUGGUGUACUUGUCUGUGAAGCUGGGAUGGUCCAUUGCUGACCAGGGGUAAUCACAGCAGCUCUAAUUCUUACCACCAAACCUAUAUUCAUGCCAACAUGAAGGCACAUGCUUAUUUUAUUAUCCAUAUGCUGACAUUUUUCUGGAAAACAAACUCUUCACAGAAAGCACUUGUAAGGCAGAACCCACAUCUGACAUUUUCUGUGGUAGAGCAGAGUCUCUCUUCACCAUCCCUGCUGGCCGAGCAUCUGGAUUGAGUGCCUAAAGGCUUCCUGUACACAAACUGAGGGGUUCUGGAUCCUUCAUACAUCCUCUUCAAGGGUGGAACCAAUGUUUAGAGGUUUCUGCUUUCUCUUAACAGUGCUGAAAACCCACUGUGUUACUCUUUAAAAGAGAAAAGCCCUUAUGUGAUGUAAUUAGGCUUCCUAGUGUUACUUCCCCUUACUAGCAGUCCCAGUUGACCACCACCUUGAAGUGGAAUUUCCUGAUGUUUUUUAAAUACCUAAUAACAAACAACUUUAUUGAGGAAAUAAGAGCUUUGGUUGUGUAAUUUU